rnacentral:rRNA from 1 species
CUACGGGGGGCUGCAGUGGGGAAUAUUGGACAAUGGGGGAAACCCUGAUCCAGCAAUGCCGCGUGUGUGAAGAAGGCCUGCGGGUUGUAAAGCACUUUCGGUUGGGAGGGCUGCUUCUAGCACUAAUAUUGUUGGAAGUUGACGUUACCUUCAGAAGAAGCACCGGCUAGCUCCGUGCCAGCAGCCGUGGUAAUACGGAGGGUGCAAGCGUUAAUCGGAAUUACUGGGCGUAAAGCGCGCGUAGGCGGCUAGAUCAGUCGGGUGUGAAAGCCCCGGGCUUAACCUGGGAACUGCAUCCGAUACUGUCUAGCUUGAGUACAGGAGAGGAGAGUGGAAUUCCACAUGUAGCGGUGAAAUGCGUAGAUAUGUGGAGGAACACCAAUGGCGAAGGCAGCUCUCUGGCCUGAUACUGACGCUGAGGUGCGAAAGCGUGGGGAGCAAACAGGAUUAGAUACCCCUGUAGUC